ACCAUUGGAGAAGAACAAAUAAGCAGAUCCUGAAUGAUCCAAAUCCAGAACUACUGAAUUACAUAAAACUACCAUAUCCCAUAAUUAAGAAGAAACCAGUUCAGGAUGAUGAGGCGAGGAUGUUUGCAAAGUUCAAGGAGAUGUUAGCUACACUUCAGGUAAGUAUUUCGUUCCAUGAAAGUUUAGAACUAAUGCCUAAGUUUUCUAAAUUUAUGAAGGCAUUAUUAAAGGGGACGAAAGAUAAA
rnacentral:lncRNA from 1 species